UACGUAGGGUGCGAGCGUUAAUCGGAAUUACUGGGCGUAAAGCGUGCGCAGGCGGAUGUUUAAGUCAGAUGUGAAAUCCCCGGGCUCAACCUGGGAAUGGCAUUUGAAACUGGGCAUCUAGAGUGCGUCAGAGGGGGGUGGAAUUCCACGUGUAGCAGUGAAAUGCGUAGAGAUGUGGAGGAACACCGAUGGCGAAGGCAGCCCCCUGGGAUGACACUGACGCUCAUGCACGAAAGCGUGGGGAGCAAACAGGUUUAGAUCCCCUGGAAGUCCACGCCCUAAACUAUGUCACCUGGUUGUGGGGGACGUAAGUUCUUGGUGACGAAGCUAACGCGUGAAGUUGACCGCCUGGGGAGUACGGCCGCAAGGUUG
rnacentral:rRNA from 1 species